GUGCCAGCCGCCGCGGUAAGACGAACCGUGCGAACGUUGUUCGGAAUCACUGGGCUUAAAGGGCGCGUAGGCGGCCGAGCGGGUCGUGGGUGAAAUCCCCCAGCUUAACUGGAGAAGUGCCUUUGAUACUGGCGGCCUUGAGGAAUGUAGGGGCAUGCGGAACUGAUGGUGGAGCGGUGAAAUGUGUUGAUAUCCAGCGGAACUCCGGUGGCGAAGGCGAGGUGCUGGACCCUUUCUGACGCUGAGGCGCGAAAGCCAGGGGAGCAAACGGGAUUAGAAACCCGGGUAGUCC
rnacentral:rRNA from 1 species